rnacentral:rRNA from 1 species
AACGGAAAGGCCCGCUUGCGGGUACUCGAGUGGCGAACGGGUGAGUAACACGUGGGCAACCUGCCCCUGGCUCUGGGAUAACAUUUGGAAACAGGUGCUAAUACCGGAUAUUGACUUUCCGCCGCAUGGUGGUUUGUUGAAAGUUUUUCGGCUGGGGAUGGGCCCGCGGCCUAUCAGCUUGUUGGUGGGGUGAUGGCCUACCAAGGCGACGACGGGUAGCCGGCCUGAGAGGGCGACCGGCCACACUGGGACUGAGACACGGCCCAGACUCCUACGGGAGGCAGCAGUGGGGAAUAUUGCGCAAUGGGCGGAAGCCUGACGCAUCGACGCCGCGUGAGGGAUGACGGCCUUCGGGUUGUAAACCUCUUUCAGCAUGAACUAAUUUGGACGGUACCUGCAUAAGAAGCACCGGCUAACUACGUGCCAGCAGCCNCGGNAAA